rnacentral:lncRNA from 1 species
AUGACAGGAUCAGAGGAAUCUCCUAGGCUCCCCAUCUGCCAUCACAGCACUCAGGGAAGCCCUGCUCCUACCAGGAUUAGAAGUGAAGAGAGGUGCUUGUGUCCACUGAAGAAACUUUGUUUUCCUCCUUACCUCUACUUAUGGAAGAUUAUAGUACAUUUUCCAUGCAUUAUAUGUUGCAAACAUUCUGAGACUCUUCUUUGUCCAAACUUUGGUACUUUACUGUUGCUUCUCUUUCAAGUAGAAUUUUCCUUUAUCUUCCAAAUCUAGCGGCAGAGUUGGCUUCAUGUGGGUGUUACCUAUGUAGCUGCACAGGGCCCUGUGUUCAGAAGAGCCCCAUGCUUAGUUUAAUGCUCUCUAGUUGUGGUCCUGAAAUUCUUAGUAAUUUUAUCUUUGAACCUGUGUUUUGUUAAGUGAAGUCUGAUGGGAUAAUGGGGCACACAUGUGGUCAGAGGCUAUGCACUCAAUGUGCAUGUUCAUGGAUCCUAGAUGCCCCAUUCAAGUAGAACAUUCGCAAGGCGCCGUGAGCACAGAACUCCAGUGGACCCAAAAUGUGUGGGAGGUCAGCGUGACUCAGAGAGUAUAAAGAACUUGUGUAAUGUCUGUGACUGAGUAAGCAGAAACACUGACAACUGGGAGGGGCCAUUCUUUCCGUUCAAAGCAGAACUUAUUUUGAAUCCAUAAAGAAGGUAAUCCAUUCUAAGAAACACAAAAGACCAAGGAAUCCUAAUGUAUUCAUUCUUUCGCACAUUACUUCCCUGUAUUAGCUAACUGCCUAUGGAUGGAGAAACCCACAGCUCCUUUUCCUUUAGGUCCCUCCUUACUCAUCAGUAAACCAAAGGUAGAGAACGUUGGUAGAAUGUGUGCAUGUCGAGAAGUGCUAUAAAAACAGUUGAGUUAGUUUUGAGCAUCAUUCUGGUAAGAAUGCAAUAUAGAUGCAUGUACACGCUAUGAAAUAG